AGCCCCGUCGUCUAGUGGUCAAGGAUGCCAGCCUUUGGAGCUGGAUACAUCGGUUCGAAACUGCUUCGUUAAUGGAAGCAUAUGAAAAUCCGAUCGGGGCUA
rnacentral:tRNA from 1 species